CCUACGGGAGGCUGCAGUGGGGAAUAUUGCACAAUGGGGGAAACCCUGAUGCAGCGACGCCGCGUGAGUGAAGAAGGAUUUCGGUAUGUAAAGCUCUAUCAGCAGGGAAGAAAAUGACGGUACCUGAUUAAGAAGCCCCGGCUAACUACGUGCCAGCAGCCGCGGUUAUACGUAGGGGGCAAGCGUUAUCCGGAUUUACUGGGUGUAAAGGGAGCGUAGGCGGCAGGCCAAGUCAGGAGUGAAAUGCUGGGGCUUAACCCCGGAACUGCUUUGGAAACUGGGCAGCUAGAGUGCAGUAGAGGUAAGUGGAAUUCCUAGUGUAGCGGUGAAAUGCGUAGAUAUUAGGAGGAACACCAGUGGCGAAGGCGGCUUACUGGACUGUAACUGACGUUGAGGCUCGAAAGCGUGGGGAGCAAACAGGAUUAGAUACCCCAGUAGUC
rnacentral:rRNA from 1 species